rnacentral:rRNA from 1 species
GACGAACGCUGGCGGCGCGCCUAACACAUGCAAGUCGAACGGAAUCAAGAGGAGCUUGCUUUUCUUGAUUUAGUGGCGAACGGGUGAGUAACGCGUGAGUAACCUGCCCUGGAGUGGGGGACAACAGUUGGAAACGACUGCUAAUACCGCAUAAGCCCACGGUACCGCAUGGUACUGAGGGAAAAGGAUUUAUUCGCUUCAGGAUGGACUCGCGUCCAAUUAGCUAGUUGGUGAGGUAACGGCCCACCAAGGCGACGAUUGGUAGCCGGACUGAGAGGUUGAACGGCCACAUUGGGACUGAGACACGGCCCAGACUCCUACGGGAGGCAGCAGUGGGGGAUAUUGCACAAUGGGGGAAACCCUGAUGCAGCGACGCCGCGCGGAGGAAGAAGGUUUUCGGAUUGUAAACUCCUGUCGUUAGGGACGAUAAUGACGGUACCUAACAAGAAAGCACCGGCUAACUACGUGCCAGCAGCCGCCGUAA